GACGAACGCUGGCGGUGUGCUUAACACAUGCAAGUCGAACGGAAAGGCCCUGCUUUUGUGGGGUGCUCGAGUGGCGAACGGGUGAGUAACACGUGAGUAACCUGCCCUUGACUUUGGGAUAACUUCAGGAAACUGGGGCUAAUACCGGAUAGGAGCUCCUGCUGCAUGGUGGGGGUUGGAAAGUUUCGGCGGUUGGGGAUGGACUCGCGGCUUAUCAGCUUGUUGGUGGGGUAGUGGCUUACCAAGGCUCUGACGGGUAGCCGGCCUGAGAGGGUGACCGGCCACAUUGGGACUGAGAUACGGCCCAGACUCCUACGGGAGGCAGCAGUGGGGAAUAUUGCACAAUGGGCGGAAGCCUGAUGCAGCAACGCCGCGUGCGGGAUGACGGCCUUCGGGUUGUAAACCGCUUUCGCCUGUGACGAAGCGUGAGUGACGGUAAUGGGUAAAGAAGCACCGGCUAACUACGUG
rnacentral:rRNA from 1 species